GGAGGGUAUAGCUCAGUGGGAGAGUGCUUGCUUUGCAUGCACGAGGUUCUGGGUUCAAUCCCCAGUACUUCCA